UUAAUUGAGAGUUUGAUCCUGGCUCAGGAUGAACGCUGGCGGCGUGCCUAACACAUGCAAGUCGAACGAGCAAAUACAUUUGAUUUCUUCGGAAUGAAGAUGUAGGCGCGAGUGGCGGACGGGUGAGUAACGCGUGAGUAAUCUGCCUCAUACAGGAGAAUAACACUAAGAAAUUGGUGCUAAUACUCCAUAAGCUCACAUUAUGACAUCAUAGAGUGAGAAAAGAUUUAUCGGUAUGAGAGGAGCUCGCGUCUGAUUAGCUAGUUGGUGGGGUAACGGCCUACCAAGGCAACGAUCAGUAGCCGACCUGAGAGGGUGAUCGGCCACAUUGGAACU
rnacentral:ncRNA from 1 species